GAUGAACGCUAGCGGCAGGCCUAACACAUGCAAGUCGAGGGGUAGAGUUCUUCGGGACUUGAGACCGGCGCACGGGUGCGUAACGCGUAUGCAAUCUACCUUAUACAGGGGAAUAGCCCAGAGAAAUUUGGAUUAAUGCCCCAUAGUGUUAUCGAAUCGCAUGGUUUGAUAACUAAAGUUCCAACGGUAUAAGAUGGAGCAUGCGUCCCAUUAGUUAGUUGGUAAGGUAACGGCUUACAAGACAAUGAUGGUAGGGUCCUGAGAGGGNGAUCCCCCCANACUGGUACUGAGACACGG
rnacentral:rRNA from 1 species